rnacentral:lncRNA from 1 species
UCAAGCAAAGUAAUUUAUAUGUAAUUCAUCUAAAAAAUGUGAAAAAGAUAAUAAUGAAAAGAAUAACAGUGUGAGGACAAUAAAUCAACAAUCAAAUUCUUUCCUUUUUCAAAGAUUAUUUCACAUUAAUUAAUGUGACUUAUACUUCUUUUUCUUUCUAACAUAGAUUUACUAAAAAGAAACAACUUAUUAAAAGACUAAACUUUCUUUCAUGGAUAUCAAAAUUAAAAUUAAGCAAACACAACAUUCAUUAUUCACUUUUUCUUUCCUUUGUUUCUGAAAAUAACUUAAAAAUGUUUAUAUGAUUCAACUCUCUGGCCGUAGUAGUACUCAUGCAUUUAUACACAUUAAAUCAUGCAGCCGGAGCAUAAUCGUAAAUUGGGUCUUCAUCAUCAUCUUUACCUUCAAAACAGGGCGUUAGAUAGUUAUACUCAUUCGUACUAUUGUGAUGAUCAUCUUCAAUGUUCAUCAAAUUAGCAUCAACAAUGCUAAAAUCACUAUGAUCAACUAUCAUCAAAAUGAUAGACAUUUUUUUAGAAAAGAUUAAGAGAGGAAAUAAUAACGAUAAUCUUGAGACUCGAAAGGGAUG